CAAUGAUUUAGAUCCAUAAGCACAAGGUCCAAAAUCAACCUCUAACUCUUGUGAAAUGGAUUAGAUCUUUAUAUCAUUUGAAACCAAGGUACAACUUCUUGGUCUAAGUCAACAGAGGCAAUAAUCAACGUUCUUUUUUAAUAGGGCAUGAUGUUAUUAUUUUUUCUUGAUUGGAUAAACUCACAUACAGAACACAGCUUAUACUUAGCACCAAAAGUUCAUUCACUGAUUUAGCAUGAGUCAUUACCUCAAGACAUCUCCGGUGGUGUGUUUGUGAUUUUGUUACCAUAUGAUUACAGUAAUUUAGUUCAAAAGAUUGCUAGCAAGUUU
rnacentral:lncRNA from 1 species